AUUUGCAUGCGUUAGGGAUUGCAAUGAUAUCCUUUUGCUGUGAAUUCGGAUCCAUCUGCAAAGAAGAUGCAAAUUUAGAUCGAAAACACAGCAAAAGAUAAAACGAAAAGCCCGCUCGAAC
rnacentral:sRNA from 17 species